UACGAGGGGGGCUAGCGUUGCUCGGAAUCACUGGGCGUAAAGGGUGCGUAGGCGGGUUUUUAAGUCAGAGGUGAAAUCCUGGAGCUCAACUCCAGAACUGCCUUUGAUACUGAAAGUCUUGAGUAUGGGAGAGGUGAGUGGAACUGCGAGUGUAGAGGUGAAAUUCGUAGAUAUUCGCAAGAACACCAGUGGCGAAGGCGGCUCACUGGCCCAUAACAGACGCUGAGGCACGAAAGCGUGGGGAGCAAACAGG
rnacentral:rRNA from 1 species